AUCUCUCUGUCUGGGAGUUGACGACUGUCUGCAAGGAUCACUGGAAGAUCCAGACUCUGGCAUACCCCUAAAAUAAAACCUAUACGCCAUCGCUGUAAAUGGUAUAGAGAGUCAGAGAGAGACUGUGAGAGCUGAGGUAGCAAGGAGUCAGAGAGAGACUGUGAGAGUUGAGGUAGCAAGGAGCCAGAGAGAGACAGUGAGAGCUGAGGUAGCAAGGAGCCAGAGAGAGACUGUGAGAGCUGAGGUAGCAAGGAGUCAGAGAGAGACUGUGAGAGCUGAGGUAGCAAGGAGUCAGAGAGAGACUGUGAGAGCUGAGGUAGCAAGGAGUCAGAGAGAGACUGUGAGAGCUGAGGUAGCAAGGAGCCAGAGAGAGACUGUGAGAGCUGAGGUAGCAAGGAGCCAGAGAGAGACUGUGAGAGCUGAGGUAGCAAGGAGCCAGAGAGAGACUGUGAGAGCUGAGGUAGCAAGGAGCCAGAGAGAGACAGUGAGAGCUGAGGUAGCAAGGAGCCAGAGAGAGACAGCGAGAGCAGAUGUAGGAGGGAGACAGUGAGAGCUGAUGUAGCAAGGAGCCAGAGAGAGACUGUGAGAGCUGAGGUAGCAAGGAGCCAGAGAGAGACAGUGAGAGCUGAGGUAGCAAGGAGCCAGAGAGAGACAGUGAGAGCAGAUGUAGGAGGGAGACAGUGAAAGACAGGGGAUAGUUGAGGUAUGGAGGGACAAUCAUAGUUGAAGUAGGGGCAGGGACGACAACACUGAGGGAUGGAGAGAUAACUGAGUCAGAUAUGAGGUAGCUGAGGUAUGGAGGGACAGUGAGAGACAGGAGAUAACUAAAGGCAGAUAAGAGGUGGGUGAGGUAUGGGGGGAAAUUGAGGGACAGAGAGAUAACUGAGUCAGAUAUGUGGUAGCUGAGGUAUCUAGGGGGCUCUGAGGAGCUUAGGGGUGGGCUGUAAACCUGCUGCUAUGUCUCAUGGUGCUGUCACUGCCAGCUCUAACUACACUAGUCCUUCUGUUACUCCUAUGAGGGGUACUAGGCCCCUUAUUAAACCAGAACAAACUCUCCACUCUAUCCAAGGAAGUAACUGUUUCCACACGGCCAUAGAAACACCUCAGUGACGAUACAACAUGACGUAUUGUGCGAGGCCAGUCAAAGUCCCUCAUUCAGCGUCUCAACUCAUAACUCACAAGUUAAAUUGGUCUUAAAAGAAGUUAGAGCAGGCAGCUUAAUAGUUGUGGUGUGCCAUAAUUGCGCGACAUUUAUAAAAUGUUCCACACGCAAAUGACUCACUCAAUGAUUCAAAGGGUACUGUAAACAACCAUGUUGACAUAGAAACAAAAUAAAGGACAUGCAGAGAGGGCCUUGCAUCUGCUGCAACUGAGAAAACACUCCAAAAUCAUGCUCCGACAGACCCUCUCAUUCAAUCAUCCAAAGUCAAAAAAUAAGUUUGAGAAUUUACUACCAAUUUACAGUAUACUAUAACCCAAGCAAACAUUAAACUCAAACUUCCAUAACUAGGAACAAAAGGUGAUGUAAAACAUAGGUAUUCCCAACCUCUACACUACCACUACACAAUAAAGAACAAUUCAACUGAAUUGAACACAACUUCGUUAUAAACCACAAAAGAAACAUAUGACACCUACCAAUUAUGUCAUUAGCCCUAUCAACACCUGAGCCCUCACAGUCAACCCUUAGACCUGA